rnacentral:rRNA from 1 species
AUACGGAGGACGCGAGCGUUAUCCGGAUUCAUUGGGUUUAAAGGGUGCGCAGGCGGCCGUGCAAGUCAGCGGUGAAAGCCCGGGGCUCAACCCCGGAAGUGCCGUUGAUACUGCAUGGCUGGAAUGCGGUCGAGGCGGGCGGGACGAGGCGGGUUGAGGUGAAAGGGGUAAGUAUGCCACAGAACGCCGUUAGCGGGGGCGGGUCGCCAGGCCUGCAUUGCCGCUCGGUCACGAAAGCGUGGGGAUCGAACAGGAUUAGAUACCCGGGUAGUCCACGCCGUAAACGAUGGGCGCUCGUCGUCGGCGGCAGACAGUCGGCGGCCAAGCGAAAGCGAUAAGCGCCCCACCUGGGGAGUACGGUCGCAAGGCUGAAACUCAAAUGAAUUGACGGGG